rnacentral:rRNA from 1 species
GACAAAGGGGGCUAGCGUUGUUCGGAAUUACUGGGCGUAAAGCGCGUGUAGGCGGUUGCCCAAGUCGGGUGUGAAAGCCUUGAGCUCAACUCAAGAAAUGCACUCGGUACUGGGUGACUAGAGGACCGGAGAGGAUAGUGGAAUUCCCAGUGUAGUGGUGAAAUACGUAGAGAUUGGGAAGAACACCAGUGGCGAAGGCGGCUAUCUGGACGGUUUCUGACGCUAAGACGCGAAAGCGUGGGGAGCAAACAGG